GGGUUGUGAGGUUAAGCGACUAAGCGUACACGGUGGAUGCCCUGGCAGUCAGAGGCGAUGAAGGACGUGCUAAUCUGCGAAAAGCGUCGGUAAGGUGAUAUGAACCGUUAUAACCGGCGAUGUCCGAAUGGGGAAACCCAGUGCAAUUCGUUGCACUAUCGUUAACUGAAUACAUAGGUUAACGAGGCGAACCGGGGGAACUGAAACAUCUAAGUACCCCGAGGAAAAGAAAUCAACCGAGAUUCCCCCAGUAGCGGCGAGCGAACGGGGAGCAGCCCAGAGUCUGAAUCAGCUUGUGUGUUAGUGGAACGGUCUGGAAAGUCCGACGGUACAGGGUGAUAGUCCCGUACACCAAAAUGCACAGGYUGUGAACUCGAAGAGUAGGGCGGGACACGUGGUAUCCUGUCUGAAUAUGGGGGGACCAUCCUCCAAGGCUAAAUACUCCUGACUGACCGAUAGUGAACCAGUACCGUGAGGGAAAGGCGAAAAGAACCCCGGCGAGGGGAGUGAAAAAGAACCUGAAACCGUGUACGUACAAGCAGUGGGAGCACCUUCGGGUGUGACUGCGUACCUUUUGUAUAAUGGGUCAGCGACUUAUAUUCUGUAGCAAGGUUAACCGUAUAGGGGAGCCGCAGGGAAACCGAGUCUUAACUGGGCGUUAAGUUGCAGGGUAUAGACCCGAAACCCGGUGAUCUAGCCAUGGGCAGGUUGAAGGUUGGGUAACACUAACUGGAGGACCGAACCGACUAAUGUUGAAAAAUUAGCGGAUGACUUGUGGCUGGGGGUGAAAGGCCAAUCAAACCGGGAGAUAGCUGGUUCUCCCCGAAAGCUAUUUAGGUAGCGCCUCGUGAAYUCAUCUUCGGGGGUAGAGCACUGUUUCGGCUAGGGGGUCAUCCCGACUUACCAACCCGAUGCAAACUACGAAUACCGAAGAAUGUUAUCACGGGAGACACACGGCGGGUGCUAACGUCCGUCGUGAAGAGGGAAACAACCCAGACCGCCAGCUAAGGUCCCAAAGUCAUGGUUAAGUGGGAAACGAUGUGGGAAGGCACAGACAGCCAGGAUGUUGGCUUAGAAGCAGCCAUCAUUUAAAGAAAGCGUAAUAGCUCACUGGUCGAGUCGGCCUGCGCGGAAGAUGUAACGGGGCUAAACCAUGCACCGAAGCUGCGGCAGCGACACUAUCCAGGCAAAUCCGGAUAAUCAAGGCUGAGGUGUGAUGACGAGGCACUACGGUGCUGAAGUAACAAAUGCCCUGCUUCCAGGAAAAGCCUCUAAGCAUCAGGUAACAUCAAAUCGUACCCCAAACCGACACAGGUGGUCAGGUAGAGAAUACCAAGGCGCUUGAGAGAACUCGGGUGAAGGAACUAGGCAAAAUGGUGCCGUAACUUCGGGAGAAGGCACGCUGGUGUGUAGGUGAAGYCCCUGCGGRUGGAGCUGAGACCAGUCGAAGAUACCAGCUGGCUGCAACUGUUUAUUAAAAACACAGCACUGUGCAAACACGAAAGUGGACGUAUACGGUGUGACGCCUGCCCGGUGCCGGAAGGUUAAUUGAUGGGGUUAUCCGUAAGGAGAAGCUCUUGAUCGAAGCCCCGGUAAACGGCGGCCGUAACUAUAACGGUCCUAAGGUAGCGAAAUUCCUUGUCGGGUAAGUUCCGACCUGCACGAAUGGCGUAAUGAUGGCCAGGCUGUCUCCACCCGAGACUCAGUGAAAUUGAACUCGCUGUGAAGAUGCAGUGUACCCGCGGCAAGACGGAAAGACCCCGUGAACCUUUACUAUAGCUUGACACUGAACAUUGAGCCUUGAUGUGUAGGAUAGGUGGGAGGCUUUGAAGCGUGGACGCCAGUCUGCGUGGAGCCAACCUUGAAAUACCACCCUUUAAUGUUUGAUGUUCUAACGUUGGCCCCUGACCGGGGUUGCGGACAGUGUCUGGUGGGUAGUUUGACUGGGGCGGUCUCCUCCCAAAGCGUAACGGAGGAGCACGAAGGUUAGCUAAUCCUGGUCGGACAUCAGGAGGUUAGUGCAAUGGCAUAAGCUAGCUUGACUGCGAGCGUGACGGCGCGAGCAGGUGCGAAAGCAGGUCAUAGUGAUCCGGUGGUUCUGAAUGGAAGGGCCAUCGCUCAACGGAUAAAAGGUACUCCGGGGAUAACAGGCUGAUACCGCCCAAGAGUUCAUAUCGACGGCGGUGUUUGGCACCUCGAUGUCGGCUCAUCACAUCCUGGGGCUGAAGUAGGUCCCAAGGGUAUGGCUGUUCGCCAUUUAAAGUGGUACGCGAGCUGGGUUUAGAACGUCGUGAGACAGUUCGGUCCCUAUCUGCCGUGGGCGCUGGAGAAUUGAGGGGGGCUGCUCCUAGUACGAGAGGACCGGAGUGGACGCAUCACUGGUGUUCGGGUUGUCAUGCCAAUGGCACUGCCCGGUAGCUAAAUGCGGAAGAGAUAAGUGCUGAAAGCAUCUAAGCACGAAACUUGCCCCGAGAUGAGUUCUCCCUGAGACUUUAAGUCUCCUGAAGGAACGUUGAAGACGACGACGUUGAUAGGCCGGGUGUGUAAGCGCAGCGAUGCGUUGAGCUAACCGGUACUAAUGAACCGUGAGGCUUAACCUUACAACGCCGAAG
rnacentral:rRNA from 1 species